AGACUGGAAAGUGGAUCCAAAGCCCAUGGUGAGAAUCCCUGUAGGGAGAGCUGAGCAUGCACCUCCACCAUCCUUCCACAGCAGUAGCAAAGAGUCAGAGAAUUACUUGGACCACCUGACGGGGAGUUUGAGGAGCAGAGAGAAUGGUACCUGCAUUCUCCUGGCCUGGCACUGUGAGUCACUGAAUCUUCAGAGAGCUUCAGAACCCCGUCAGGCAGAGCCUUCGUCUCAAGAAUUCCUCACAAUUUGACCUUCGGGCAGCGUUCACGAUAUCUGCCCUGAACUUAGCCCAGAACUGAAAAUGUACUCAGCAGAGGCUUAGGGUGAGAAAGCAGAUUCGUUUUGGGACUCAAUGCACCAGAAAUUUAUGACAGAAUUAAAAAGUCUCUGAAGAAAACUCAGUUAAAAGAAAAUCAGCUUUAUAAUUUUAUAUUUGAGUGGGAAAAAUAUUAAAUAGAAGUGAUUAACAGGAAUAUUUGGCACACAUAUUGUUUAUUCUGGUUCUUAUUAACUACAUGCCAAAAUGGCAUAUAUAAAAGUAGAAUUUAAGGAAUUUUAUAUCAGAGAUUUAUAGAUUUUUAUAUCAAAAGAUUUGUAUCAGCCCCAGUACUUCCCAGGAAAUUAAUA
rnacentral:lncRNA from 1 species